rnacentral:rRNA from 1 species
AUUGAACGCUGGCGGCAGGCCUAACACAUGCAAGUCGAACGAGUGGCGGACGGGUGAGCAAUGUCUGGGAAACUGCCUGGUGGAGGGGGAUAACUACUGGAAACGGUAGCUAAUACCGCAUACCAUCGGAUGUGCCCAGAUGGGAUUAGCUAGUAGGUGGGGUAAAGGCUCACCUAGGCGACGAUCCCUAGCUGGUCUGAGAGGAGGACCAGCCACACUGGAACUGAGACACGGUCCAGACUCCUACGGGAGGCAGCAGUGGGGAAUAUUGCACAAUGUGCGAAAGCCUGAUGCAGCCAUGCCGCGUGUAUGAAGAAGGCCUUCGGGUUGUAAAGUACUUUCAGCGGGGAGGCGUUACCCGCAGAAUAAGCACCGGCUAACUCCGUGCCAGCAGCCGCGGUAAUAC